UUGGCUUUAACGUCGCAGGAGUCAAUUAACUGGAUGGUGACAGUUUUUUCCUGCUUUUGUGCUCACACACUUAUUCACGCGGACGCUCUGAAGUCAAUGUAGGUGCUGAUUAGGGGUACCAGAAGGGUCUGUCAUCUGCAGACAGUAACACAGAGAAAUUUAACCUGUUUUUAGAAUUACAGUCCAACUGUUUAAUGCAGUAGUUGUCUUUUGUCCAAAGAGGACUUAUGUUAAAACUGUGAGAUAAAAUGCACUAAAAGAGGUUUGUUUUUUAAGUAUAUUUAUUGGAGGACUCAGCAGAAAUCAGUUUUUUUAGGAGGACACAUCAUUUACAUUCAAAUUCCUCAGUAAAAUAUGCACACAACAUGCACCCCUUCAGAUUUAACACUUGUCAUUCAAAAUGGCUUAACACAGGACAACUGAGUCUGCAGAUUAACUGUGUGUGGCUAACAUUAGCAGAGCUAGCACCACCUCUCAGGUUUACGUCUACAUGCAACUAGUAAAGGUGUCAUAUACCCACAGUACAGACAUUCAAAAACCGGCCGUCCUACCACUGUGACUAUGGCUCAUGCUUGGUUUUGAUUGAUAGCAUAAUAUUAUUAUUAUUGCAACCUUAUUAUUUUGUCAAGGUUGGGGCUAGUUAUGUGGUUAAGUAAAUUCCCUCAGUCAAAUUGCACCUCAAGCAAUAAAUUCAAUGAGCCGUGUCACACUGUGAUUUUAUGGCCUGACUAAACAGAGACAGAAAGCUACACCCAACUUGAAUGUUAAUAACUCUGAGGUGGUAAACACCCUGAUUCUCUAAAUCUCUAAAAGAAGCACAUUAAAGGCACAAUGAGGAGUUUUUAAAUCAGCUGAGACACACUGAAGUUAAUACUGAUGCCUCUUCAUCAGUAAAAAGGCUGACUGACUGUUUUAUGUUACUUUUAAUGAGGGUCGGCGUCAGACCAGAUAACUGACAGCACACUGAAGCAUUACUUUUCUCCAUGACUAUGAUACACAGUGAGUGAAAACAACAACAAGAACAAAAAAAACUUGUGCAGGAGGAGAGGUAACUGCUUUCACUUUGUCGACAUGGGAGCCAAAAUUGACACAAACCCAAGUAUCCUCACAGCUGCUUUAAAAAAGACCAAAAAGGAAAACCGGAGUUUCACAUGUACCCGAACAAAGAUGGCCCACCUCACUCGAACACGUGUGCUCCUCCUCCUGAGUGAGUCCCUGCAUGUCUAAACUAGAAAAGUCAACAAACUCAAAUCAUUGAUUCUGUGUCAGAGAUCAGGGGGUUUCCUGUUUUAAAGCACCAACACGCCGCUGCUGCUGCUGCUGCUGCUGCUGCUGCUGCUGCCUGCGCCUCCAGAGAGAAUCACACUAAUUCCUUGUGCUCUCGUUUCUUAGUGAACAACGGUAGAAAAGGGAAAAUUAGGUUUUUGCUUUCUGCUGUAGCUUUAGGCCUUCACAUUAGUCAACCAAAUAAUUAACUCAGAGCUCCACAGUGUGCUGGAGCAUUGUGGGGUAUCCAUCCUAUAAUUGAAAUUCACUCAUAGAGGCUGCGUUUACUGCAAAUCAAUGUUUCACUUCUGACCAACAUUUUCAUUUUCUGCUGUUCACAUAUUGUACUUCAGGUCCAUGAAUGAUCAAAACCAAUGUGCUGCUUUGGGGAUUUGUAGUCAGCAUUCGUGUUUUCUUUUCUUUUUUGCCUACGUCUUCAAAUCGAGUUCAAACAUGGGGAUUCCCAUACAUCAAACAAGACAAAUGUACACAAAAAUAUUAUUUUUCCCCAUUAUAUGAGAUAUUUAAAAGAAACACAUGCUGUUUUUGACAUUUAUGGCUAAAAGCUCAACAAGGGAAUUAGACAGGGAAUAUGUUUCAGGAUUCAGUCAUGAAAUCCACCAGUAGUGAAAAGGUUUACUGAGCACACCAUCGGCUGUUUGAUAAAAGGGACAAACUCCAUCAGAGGAGAGGAACACACACACACACACACACACACACACACACACACACACACACACACACACACACACACACACACAAACAAAAUCUGUCCUCAAAAGACACACAGCGCUGGUCUUAGUUCUGCUGCUCUUUUCAGUUGUGGUAUGUACUUCGGGGGAUCAGCUUUAGAGUAAGCACUUCUGUAAAAUGUCCAUUAAGUAGUAAAAUAAAUAUUUGAAAAUGCCACCAAGUGACUCUUGAAGCCACAAACCAAUCAAGGUGUUAUGAAAUUAAAUGUCAAAUCCAAAUUGAAAAGUAGAAGCAAGUCGCGCUCAUUAUCUCGGCAGUUUAAGUCUCGCAUAAAUUAGUGUGUAACUUGAGAUGUCAGAUAACAUUUUGCAAACUUUCACAGAGUUAGUAUAAAUCAACUUUGGUUGGUCGCUGUCGGUAUUACCAUGAUUUUCAUGUCAAUCAAUCAAUCAAUCAAUCAAUCAAUCAAUCAAUCAAUCAAUCAAUCAAUCAAUCAAUUUUUAUCUACAUAGCACCUGAUCACAACAGUCUUUUUCCUCAGACACUCUCCAGAAGAGCAGGUCCAGACCACACUCAUUGUUCAAAGCAGGUUUGGGUCGGACUGUGGGAAGGAGAAUCUUCCCUCUAUUGAGCAGAAACAACAACAACAACAAUAAUAAUGUCGACUUUCUGUAAUGCACAUGUGAGAGGGAUAAAACAGCUUUACUAUGAACGUCUCAGCAGUAAACACUUGUAACAGAAUCAACCAGAAUUGACUUUGUGGUACUUUUAUUUUUUUGCUUUUAUUGUGUGAUGUGAUUUUCACGAGCAUAUUUCAUUUUUCUCUUUUUUUUAACUAACUGAGAAAAUUAUCGUUGAAAUCCGAGAGAAGGUUUUGAAAAACACUGAGAGGAACUAUUCUGAUAAUUCAGCAAAAAUAAAUAAAAACAGGGCUUUAUUUAGUUUGUGUCAAUUUCAGCGCCCCCUGGACAAACACUGUUUGCUAUCUGGUCCUUCACACACAUAGACAAAAAUGGCUUCAAAUAAAUAAAAACUUUGCAAAUAUUUGUGAAGUUUCUUGUAAAUAAAAAUGAUGUCAAACAGUCGAUCUGUUCUGCUCUAUUGGCACUAUUUGACCUUUCCCAGAGUUGGCAGGUUGAGCGUUCCUUUAAAUAAGUCUAAUCAGAGAAUUUUUAAUAAGGAGAAAAAAGGGCAAAAAAAAGUAUCAUGUAUGAACAGCAUUUUAUUUUGAAGGUCUUUGCUGGAGCUCUUCCUCUGCUCUGUUCAUAUCCUGUAUCUGAGAUGGUUUUCAGAUCUGCAGCUUCAGUUUGCUCUUUGACUCUGAGUGGGCUGCUGACUUCACUGACUGAUAAAACUCUCGUCUUACACGUGAACAAGCUUCCAAUUAAACUAAUGGUAUUAGCACUGCAGCAGCAGCAGACAGGACGUAAUGUCAGAGUCAUCUGUUUUAAUCCUCUGCAACUCCUUUUAUUUACACUUUCAUAUUACUUUGACAUCAGAGAUUACGGGGCGGGACAAACACAGAUUUCUCUCUGUGGCUGCCAAGCAGAGUUUUGACACCGUUCAGAGCAAACAAAGAAACAGUAAUGAGAGUGAGCGAGUGCAGCCAGAGUAGGUAGGUACUUCAACAGCUGAUCUGUGAGGGGAACACUCAUAGCAUCUACACGAGAAAACAACAAGUCACACCGACAGGUAACACUUUUGUUCUUCAUUUCUCCUCUGUGGUGUGAGUUUUUUUCAGCUUUGUAUUCACUUCACCAGCGGUCGGGCUUCUUUAUAGUUCAAUCUGAAGCUUUAUAAUAUAAGUAUAAUCUAGGAAGGAAGGAAUAAAGGAAGUAAAUGCAUAAUCGCCGCCUUUUGUGUCUUCACAGUUGGAGGAAACUCAUUUAAGACCCGUAUAAAAGAAAGAACAACCAGGUUGGAACUCUCUCUUGCAUAUUAUUCAUAAGCUCUUUAACGUGGUCAAGAAAUGGCUGAUGUAUAAGCCCAAUAUAUCAUGUUGUUGAACACAGCAAUUUCCUUUUAAUAACAAAUGAAUGAACAUGUUAUUAUAACCGGCUUAAAACAAAGUCUCAAGAGACUUCUGGAUGUCUGUCCAGUUAUCUGUAAUAACCCAAAAAUACAUGAAACGUCUCAUAGGAUUCCAAUAUUUGAUACAAACUCUACAUGAAUAUAGAUAUUUAAGAUGAAUCUAAGAAAACUGAUCUAUCAUCUUACUGUGAAGCUGUGUCCUCUAAGUCAUGGUUUCAGAUCACACUGGUGCAGAAGAACUGAACAGGCAGUUAACGAAGGCACUUAUUACAAACAGCAGAUAAUUAUUGAAUGUUGUACUGCCCUGGUCAUUAAAACAUCAGAAUGCUUUGUUAUAUUUUACAUCCUUCCUUGUUGCUGCUGUCAGUCAUUUAAUGGGGUCACCAACACGUUCAGAGCUGGACACAGAGGCAACAGUCCAACACACACUUGGAAAAGCACUUUCUGUAAUUGGUUAAAUUGGGCGAUACUCCAUAUGUUUCCUGAAUGGGACAUAUUGCUCUGCUAGUUAAUAUGAACUGCAGCCCGAUGGCAGAAUUCAGCAAAGACAGACUUGAGGUUUUAUACCUGCUGGUUUUUGUGUUUUGUUUAGUGCACUCCAAAUGAAGACAGAGUUUAUAAAGAGCUGCUGUAACAGGCUGUAGAAACCCAUUUGUUAGGUCUAUUUUCAGUCAGCCAAACAAACUGAGCUUGUUCUGCAGAUAAAUUUUUCAUCAGGCCGUCGCUAAUCUAAUUCUGUGCAGCACGAGUACUUCUCCGUCCUGAUUCUUGUACUUUUAUAAAAAAAAAUCAUUUUUUGAAAAUUGUUAUGAAUGAAUGUACUUAUAUUUUAACAGACAAUCUCAGUCAGCAUUACUAUCAUCCAAAAUACGUCCCAUUUGAAAUCGUCCUCAUAACAAUAAGCAGCCGAGCACUAGUUGAUACUUUUAAUGCAAAACAGCAGCAGAUAUUAACCAGAUAUCAGAUGUUUGUCAGCGUAAAUCUGCAGAGGAGAGAACAGAAAACACCAAACUGAUGGGAUUAUAAUGAGCUUCAAUCCAGUGUCACUCACUUGUGUUGUUUCCUCUUAUACUUGCAGAGCAAUUAUUUCACUACACUUCCUGUUGCAACAAACGAGGUUAACGUGGGAGUGAAAAAAACAGAGUAAAAACGGCUGAACACACGAUGGUGUUAGGGCGAUAUAUCAGUCUGACUCAAUUUUAACGCUUUACCUGGAGGCCAGAGCUCACAUACGAGAGGACCAUCUCCACUUCUGGAGUCUAUUGGGGAAAGAAUUUAGUGACUUGACUCGUCAAUAAUGAAAUUGGAAGAUUAUGCAGCAGCAGAAAAGCUAAAAACAUGCAGGUUUCAUCUCUUCAAACAAAAGGAUUUGUGCUGUUUAAGAAAACAUGACAGUGAUUGGAUGUAAAAACAAUCAUCGAUAGUUUCAGGGAUAUAAAGGAUCUUAAUUCCAAGCAUUGCUGUGAAGUACGUUGACAUAUUGAGGGUAACAGUGGUGAAGACACCUGAAUUCCACAUAUAAUAGCUGCGGUCCCCUAACAUUUCCAUGUUGUGUUUCAGUCUCCUGAAAGCACUUAUUUUCAUUUAACCUCGCAGACAUAAUUAUUUCCACUGUUUCCAUCUUCAAGUGGACAACUGCAGGUGUUUUGUUUUUUUACAGCAGAGAGAAUGAGGCUGGCAAUUAGCGCUUGAUGCUGAAGAAAAGCUGCGAGUAUUAUCUCCUGCCAAGUGUAAAAUUAGUGCGAUUAUCAGCAAUAUAACCGCAGAAAUAUGGUGGGACGUGGAUAAUUUAAAGAGUGAAAGCCAAAUGGGAGUUUUUCAAUCAGUCUAUCUGCACAUCCAGCAUUGAGCCGGGGAGGCGAGAAUUCACAACAUGUCAGUGAAGUUAAUUACCUCUGCGAAUGCCUCCCAGCAGAGUCUGGAAUAAUAGCAUCAGGGGAGGGAGAGACUUUUUCUCUGUAUUGGUUUUACACUACAGCUGAAUCUUUUCUUAACCCCUAUUCCACUUUAAUUAGACAUUUGCCCAAGAGACUUACUUCUUCUGAAAAACAUCUGUGUUCUUGUUAUCCCUGGAGCAAAUGUUUCUUAUUCUGUCAUUGAUUACCACACGUGUUCAUCCAGAAUUGAUGACCUUAUUAAGAGCGGUGCUUUAACUCUGUCCAAAAGAAUUAAGAGGCACAAAUAUGACAACUGAACCCAGAACUCUGUAUUUGCACCUGUCGGCGUUUUAAAAACCUUUCUGUUGGUGUUUUUCCUCUUUAAAUAUUAUCAUGUGGCUCAUUUGUCAUAACAGAGGUUUUUUUUUUUUACCAUUCAUCAAAUGUACGGUAUAUUGAUAAACUAUAGAAAUAUAUAAAGAUGUAUAUGAUUGAAACAUUUGCUGUUUUAAAUGCAGUUUGAUUUGGCUUUGGUCUUUUUUUCUGUGUAAAUGAAUUUUUAUGAAACGUCUUAAAAACUUCAGUAUAUGUGUCUGUGGAAGAUCUUCGACCAAUAUAUCAAUAACUUGUUUUUUAUUGUUUAAUAAGAUUCAUGUUUCCCGUAGGUUGAUCUUCACCCCAAAUCC